CUGUUUCAGAUUACGCAAUAAGGUAUUCAUUAAGCAAUAUUUUUCAUUCUUUUGUCAAAUUUUUAUACACAAAUGCCAUAAAAAAAAAUAAUUCUGAGAUGGAGUCUCUUUUAAGAGGUUGUAUUAUAUUGGUGCCAAUGGUAUUGAAAACCCAAAAAGCAAUAGAUUUUGAAUUUUUAUGUAUAUAAAUAUAAGGAGAUGUGGGG
rnacentral:lncRNA from 1 species